UUAACUUCGGGGUGNCAGGCGAUACGGGCAUAACUAGAGUGCUGUAGGGGAGACUGGAAUUCCUGGUGUAGCGGUGGAAUGCGCAGAUAUCAGGAGGAACACCGAUGGCGAAGGCAGGUCUCUGGGCAGUAACUGACGCUGAGGAGCGAAAGCAUGGGGAGCGAACAGGAUUAGAUACCCUGGUAGUCCAUGCUGUAAACGGUGGGCGUUAGGUGUGGGGACCGGUUUGGUUUCUGUGCCGUAGCUAACGCAUUAAGCGCCCCGCCUGGGGAGUACGGCCGCAAGGCUAAAACUCAAAGGAAUUGACGGGGGCCCGCGCAAGCGGCGGAGCAUGUGGAUUAAUUCGAUGCAACGCGAAGAACCUUACCUGGGUUUGACAUGCACCAGACGGUUGUAGAGAUACGUACCUCCCUUUGUGGUUGGUGUGCAGGUGGUGCAUGGUUGUCGUCAGCUCGUGUCGUGAGAUGUUGGGUUAAGUCCCGCAACGAGCGCAACCCUUGUCUUAUGUUGCCAGCACUUUGGGUGGGGACUCAUGAGAGACUGCCGGGGUUAACUCGGAGGAAGGUGGGGAUGACGUCAAAUCAUCAUGCCCUUUAUGCCCUGGGCUUCACACAUGCUACAAUGGUUAGUACAACGCGCUGCGAGCCUGUGAGGGUGAGCGAAUCGCUGAAAGCUAAUCUCAGUUCGGAUUGGGGUCUGCAACUCGACCCCAUGAAGUCGGAGUCGCUAGUAAUCGCAGAUCAGCAAUGCUGCGGUGAAUACGUUCCCGGGCCUUGUACACACCGCCCGUCACGUCAUGAAAGUUGGUAACACCCGAAGCCCAUG
rnacentral:rRNA from 1 species